UUAGUGAAUGCAACAUUUGUCAAAAAAUCUAUCAUUUUUGCUAAAAUGUUACUCUGUAAAAUAGUUGCUGUUGAUUUUACAAUAAUUUACUGGCAGCGGGAUGCCAGUAAAUUACUGUAAAGACUUUCACAGCUUUAAAAUGAAAUACAGCAUAAUUUCUGUGUUCUGUAUUUCAUUUUACAGUAUAAAGCUAUAAAAUGAAUCACAGUACACACAUAGUUUACAGUAGUUACUGGCAUCCAGCUGCCAGUAGUUAGAACAGUAUUUUUUGCUUCCUUUUACAAUAAUAUUACAGUAUUUUCAUUUUCCAUUAAUUUACUGUAAAAAUAAAUAUGGUAAAUAAAAAUGUAUUCUGGUUUUAUGACAACUUCUUCAGCUGUUUUGAGUGAAGCGCUUUUUGACCUCUUUGCAACCUUAAAGCCAAGGUCAUGUUCACCCCGAGUACGUUCUUAGAUCAAUGCAACCCCAGACAGAGACAUACAGUUAUUUAUUUUACAUCACUGAAGAGUUUUAAGUCAACUUGAAUAAAAUGAACAGAUGUACAGAGAGAAUAUAAAACUCAACACACAAAGGUUCCCACUGGGGCUUGAACUGAGGACCUUUUUCUGAGAGGCGAUAGUGUAAGCACUGCAACACCAUGCCAACACCAAUUUAAUGUACCUAUACUUCCAAUAUUGGUAAAAUUUUGUUUUACUGGAAUUAGUUUCAACAGCAAAUUCAACUAGUGUUUAGUUUUGUUUUAGUCUAAUUCCUAAAAUUAAAAGCUCUACAAUAACUUUUACUCAACUACAUGAUUUUUUUUGAAUGAGAACAAAUAUUUAACUGUCUAUUUCUCAAUGGAAAUUUAUGGGACUUUGGCCUUCUUGCAGCCCGGGGGUACUUCCUAUUUGGAACACAGAAGGGGAGGGGUAGCAGUCUGGUGCAGCCUUCUGGAACUGAACGCUGUUCCUGCUAACUAGCCUGAUGCCAGUUACCUGGUGGAGGCCAUUUACAGUCAGCUCUGCCGCCUUCAUGCAUUGGCUACAAGAAGGCAGGGUUCUGAAGAGCCAUUGGUCCUUGAUCUUGGGGACUAUGUGGUCAUUAAGGAGGCAGUUCUUGGGAACACCCAGGCUGAUGGAUCAGACUGGAUUUCAGGAAGGAAACGCACAGGAGAACUUGGGAAGCUCUCAUCAAGCAGAAGAAGUCGUCCUGAAUCCUGACUCAGAACUGGAUAUUCCCCCGCCCAGGAACUGUACAAACAUGUUAAUAAACCGGAGCGUCGUGAUCUUCUGAUCUUACUUUUGUAUACCCUGUAGAUCAGUCUGACUGCUAGAAACACACAGCAAGCCCCUCGUAUAGUCUUUACAGUCCCUCCCCAUAAAGGGCUUUGCAGGUCAUGGACCUCCCCCAUCACGUGUGCAUAGCUAAACUGCUUAUAAAGCUUGCCAAGAGCAAGAAGUCCUGAGAUUCACUGAGAGCUGUAGUAUGUAGAGGUUUGGAAGUUAUUUCAUACAGAAGUUCCAAUGCUUUAAUCUUUGAUUAUUUUGAUUGGAAAUGAGAAAGACAGAACACUUAUGCUGAAUUAUUCUGCUUCACUGUGCUUUUUUCUAACAACUUUCCUUUUUUUUUUUUCAUUAAACCAUGUAUAAAUCUAACCAUUACCAAAUCUUUACUGUUAACAAAAAAGGCAAUAAACAAGGAUGUUCCUGUAUAUCCAAGAAAAAACCCAUUGACAUCUGAAUUAAUUUUGAAUGCUUUGUAAGCAUUCACACAAUAGUGCUCCUGGUUCUGUUUAUUAUUAUUCCUUAUUUAUUCUUCCGUAUGUUUUCUGAUUCGUAAAUACUCAAUCACACUUUCAGCAAUUUCUGCAAUCUUGGUAUCAAAAUCUUGAGCUAGGUAAGAACAUUCCUGCUUGUACUUUUGGUAUUCAUACAUUUUAUGGUUUAUAAGAUUUUACACAAUUCAUGCGAUUUUUCAGCACCAUUGAAAAUGAAGAGGAAGUUUUUUCAAAUUUCUGCAGUUUCUGGAAUCAAAACAUUCAGUGUGUUCAUGCUUGUACUACUACUUUCACAUUUUUUGACAUUUUAUGCAAUUUUUGAAAUUUUACACCAAUUUUGCAAUUUGUUUUUUAUGUAUUUCUUCAAAUAUUUGAGCACUUUCUGCAAUUUUGGUAUCGAAAUGUUCAGCAUUUUCAGGACAUUCAUGCUUG